AUUCCAGCUCCAAUAGCGUAUAUUAAAGUUGUUGUGGUUAAAAAGCUCGUAGUUGGAUCUCGGCGGUCUGAGGGCGGUUCGCUUCAGAGCGCUACUGCCCUAUAGACCGUAGUUUUGCCAGAGGUCUCAGGGUGCUCUUAACCGAGUGUCUUGCGAUGCUGGCAGGUUUACUUUGAAAAAAUUAGAGUGUUCAAAGCAGGCGUCGGCUUGAAUACAUUAGCAUGGAAUAAUGGAAUAGGACUUUGGUUCUAUUUUGUUGGUUUCUAGGACCGAAGUAAUGAUUAAUAGGGACAGUUGGGGGCAUUCGUAUUUCAUUGUCAGAGGUGAAAUUCUUGGAUUUAUGAAAGACGAACUUCUGCGAAAGCAUUUGCCAAGGAUGUUUUCAUCA
rnacentral:rRNA from 1 species